AAGGCUUGAGCCCAGGAGCUCGAGACCAGCCUGGGCAAUAUGAAGAGACCCUGUCUCUACAAAAAUAUUUGGUAUCAGGCUGAUGCUGGGCUCAUAGAAUCUGGACUCAUUGAAUGAGAUGGGAAAAAGGCCCCUCCACCAUUUGUUUGAAUUAUAAUAGCGUUGUUAUGAAUUCUUUGUACAUCAGGAAAAAUUUGGCUAUGAAUUCAUCUGCUCCAGGGAUUUUUUUUUUAAAUAUUGUAGGUUCUUUAUUACCUAAACAAUUUAAGGCAUAGAUAAUGGCCUAUUCAGUUUCAAUCUCUUCUUGAUUUAGUCUUGGGAGAUUGUGUGCUUCCAAGAAUUUAUCUGUUGCCUCUGGAUUUUCUAAUUUGUGUGCAUAGAGUUGUCCAUAGUUGUCUCUGAGGAUCUUUUGGCUUUCAACUUUGAACUCCCACUGAGUGUGAUGUUAGCUAUGGGUUUGUCAUGUAGAGCAUUAUUUGGUUAUUCUCGUUUAUGUCAUUUGUUGUGUUGAGUUACAAUUGUUCUAUGCAUAAUUUGUUGAGAGAUUUUAUUAUAAAAAGGUGGAAUUUUGUCAAAUGGCUUUUUUAUUUAUUGAAAUGACCACCUAGAUUUUGUUAUUUAUUUUGUUGAUGUAAUGUAUGAUACUUAAUGAUUCUUGUGUAUUAA
rnacentral:lncRNA from 1 species